UACGGGGGGUGCAAGCGUUGUCCGGAUUUACUGGGCGUAAAGGGCGCGUAGGCGGUUGUAUCAGUCGGGCUUAUAAGUGCGGGGCUCAACCCCGUGAUGGGUUCGGGACGGUAUGACUGGGGCGCGGUCGAGGGAGACGGAAUGCCGGGUGUAGUGGUGAAAUGCGUAGAGAUCCGGCGGAACACCGGUGGUGAAGGCGGCGUUCUGGACUGUUUCUGACACUGAAAAACGAAAGCCAGGGGAGCAAACGGG
rnacentral:rRNA from 1 species